UAUCAUAAAUUUUCCCUCCCCCACCCAAUAUUUUAAAAUUGGUUUUUCGUUUUAAAUCAUAUAUUGAUUAUAUUCUUAAUUGCAAGCUUCCUAUAAUAUUAUCUAGAUGAUAUCUAAUGUUAUUAAGCAUCUGCAAAUUACAAACAAUAUGAUGAUAUACAUAAUUAAUGAAUGACAUGUAUCAUUAUGCAUAGAGUGACACUACCUAUUCUAUAUGACAUGUUAUCAUGGCAUGUUAUCAUCCAAAACAUAACAUAUAAAAAAAUAAUUAAAUAAUCUUAAUUCAUGGCUUUCCUAAAAUGAAAAAAUACAUUAACGUUAAGUUUAAUCUUCAUUGGGCUUCUUGUCAAUGUCCAUCGUGCAUAAACUUGUCUUUGUUAAUGGACUGAGGGAAAUUGGGCUUUUAAAUUUAUUAUUGGUCAAAUUUUAAUUUUGAAAGAAAGUAAAUAAAAUCCAUUUUUUUAAAAUAAUAAUAAAACUUUUGGACUAAAAAAUAAAUUUAAUGUAUUAAAUUUUAUCUAUGCAUUUUAAUCCAUUAAGCCCAAUUGAAAUUGAGCCUAAAAUAAAACUUAUAGGUCUAAGAAAAAAUUAUAAAAACUAUUGAAACCCUAAAAUCCUUAUUUGUAUUUUCCUUCUUCCCCAUCCCCAGCCGCCAUAUCCAUAAAGGAUAGCCAUUGUUCACCUAUCUCCGAUGCCGAUUCAACCGCCGUCACCUUGCCGGGAAGCCACCAAAUGACUCACGACACCUUCUGCGAGCAGCUGACGCGCGCACACAACCAUCCCUCGCUCGUGUUUACUGGCCACGUUGCCGCUGCAAUUGCUGGUUUUGUUACUUGCAGCGCUGGUUGUAGCGCGCGCUGUUAGCCACGCAAGCUGCGCGCACUGCUGCUACGUGUGCAGCGUGCACUGGUUGGUUACCGCUGUCAAAAUUUUCGGCCUUCAUUUCCUCUUAUCUGACAUCCGCGAUUAUUCUCCAUCAAUUUACAAAUUUCCUAGGCCAAUUUUGGCUUACAAAAUUUCUAUAACAGUAAAAUAAAUCAAGAGAAAAACAUGGUGAUAAAAGACCAUCUCUCUUAUUACAGGUCCAAACGAAAAAUACAUCAAAGAAUCUAACCAUGAAUUAAGACAAACCAUAAGCAUGUUUUAUUCAUAUAUUAAACAAAUAAUAUAUAUCUGAAUAAAUUGUGCCACUCUAACAUAUAAAUAUCAAGAUUGAUUUCAUACGAAAUUCUUAUAUAUUAAUAUGAGUUGGCUUUGAUACCAAUUGUUGGAUAAAAUUCUGUUUUUCUUAAAAUAAAAUUUUUAGAACCAAUCUCAUACAAUAAAUAUGAAUUUGUAAUCUAGAAAAUCAUAUCUUGAUAAUCUGAUUUGGCUUUUUCGCUGAGUUAAACUAGGCUCCCAAAUCACGAUUUGUCACCAUCACUUCUGUUAGAUCACGAUCCGCUACCACCACGCUUGUUAGAUCAUGAUCCGUCACCACCAAUGAUCUUAUAGGUUAUGACUCAGGUUUGAUCUGCACUUGACGUAUGGGCGCCUUUAUCACCACUAAAAGCAACUAGCAAGAGAAAAUUUUUCUCUCAAAAUUAGAGAGAAAAAUUCUUUUUCUCUUGAUAUGUAUAAUGUGACUCUUUUUUGGGGGGAAA
rnacentral:lncRNA from 1 species